UACAGAGGGUGCGAGCGUUAAUCGGAAUUACUGGGCGUAAAGCGCGCGUAGACGGUUUUGUAAGUCAGAUGUGAAAUCCCUGGGCUCAACCUGGGAACUGCAUUUGAGACUGCAUGGCUAGAGUAUGGAAGAGGGAAGUGGAAUUUCCGGUGUAGCGGUGAAAUGCGUAGUUCUCGGAAGGAACACCAGUGGCGAAAGCGACUUCCUGGUCCAAUACUGACGUUCAUGUGCGAAAGCGUGUGGAGCAAACAUU
rnacentral:rRNA from 1 species